CAGUCGCCGCGGGAAUACGUAGGUCCCGAGCGUUGUCCGGAUUUAUUGGGCGUAAAGCGAGCGCAGGCGGUUAGAUAAGUCUGAAGUUAAAGGCUGUGGCUUAACCAUAGUACGCUUUGGAAACUGUUUAACUUAAGUGCAAGAGGGGAGAGUGGAAUUUCAUGUGUAGCGGUGAAAUGCGUAGAUAUAUGGAGGAACACCGGUGGCGAAAGCGGCUCUCUGGCUUGUAACUGACGCUGAGGCUCGAAAGCGUGGGGAGCAAACAGGAUUAGAUACCCGUGUAGUCCCUGUCUCUUAUACA
rnacentral:rRNA from 1 species